GUUAGGGUUGGGGGCAGGGGCUUCGCUUAAAAAAAAAAAAUCUGGGCACAAGUUGAACCUACAGUUAAGUUUCCUCGCACAGUUCCACAUUUCAUGGUUUAUUUUAACCAGUGGCUUAGGUCUAUGCUCUGUUACAAGUUUCUGCAAUGAUUCUCCAGAAUCUCUGCUCAUGAAAAAGUGAAGGGGAGGUACCCCAGUCCUUAUCACCCUGCCCAGACUCGGAGGAAGAGAGUGGCAUGGCCGGCCAGAAGGGUGAGCGAGAGGACUGCCCCGAGACAUCCACAAACUUUUCCAGUUUGGGGGAAUUCUCUGCUCCGAGAUGCUGUAAAGAAGUAGUUGGGUGCCUCGGGCCUCAGUUUACCCCAUCUGUGAAAGCGGGAGAGCUGGCUGGGGUUGCUGCACGCCUCCCUGAGUGAAGCCAAACAGAGCAGCCCACUCCAUGUAACUGUGUGGCGAAAUCUUCAGGCUGGCGUUGCUGUGGAAUCACAAACUGGAAGUGUGACCAUUAUUCCUGAUUAUCAGCGUCAUGAUGAUAAAACCGUCAUUAAAGACACCCCGAGACAAACAGACCCCGCGAGCACAGAUCAAGUGUCUGGCCAUUUCUAAUGAACAAAACCCCC
rnacentral:lncRNA from 1 species